CCCUUAGACAUUCUGGGCCGCACGCGUACUACACUGAUGAAUGCAAUAAGUUAACCUAACCCGAAAGGGGAUGGGUAAUCUUCUCAAAGUUCAUCGUGUUUGGGAUAGAUCUUUGUAAUUAUGGAUCUUGAACGAGGAAUUCCUAGUAAGCAUGUGUCAUCAACGCAUGUUGAUUACGUCCCUGCCCUUUGUACACACCGCCCGUCGCUCCUACCGAUUCGAGUGACUCGGCGAAUUCUCCGGACCUGCUCUCACGAGCUUGGAAAGUUGUGUAAGCCAUGUCACUUAGAGGAAGGAUAANGCGUAACA
rnacentral:rRNA from 1 species